CGGCGGACGGGUGAGUAACACGUGGUAACCUACCUAUAAGACUGGGAUAACUUCGGGAAACCGGAGCUAAUACCGGAUAAUAUUCGAACCGCAUGGUUCGAUAGUGAAAGAUGGUUUUGCUAUCACUUAUAGAUGGACCCGCGCCGUAUUAGCUAGUUGGUAAGUUAACGGCUUACCAAGGCGACGAUACGUAGCCGACCUGAGAGGGUGAUCGGCCACACUGGAACUGAGACACGGUCCAGACUCCUACGGGAGGCAGCAGCG
rnacentral:rRNA from 1 species